AUUGAACGCUGGCGGCAUGCCUUACACAUGCAAGUCGAACGGUAACAGGUCCUCGGAUGCUGACGAGUGGCGAACGGGUGAGUAAUACAUCGGAACGUGCCUAGUAGUGGGGGAUAACUACUCGAAAGAGUGGCUAAUACCGCAUGAGAUCUACGGAUGAAAGCAGGGGAUCGCAAGACCUUGUGCUACUAGAGCGGCCGAUGGCAGAUUAGGUAGUUGGUGGGAUAAAAGCUUACCAAGCCGACGAUCUGUAGCUGGUCUGAGAGGACGAUCAGCCACACUGGGACUGAGACACGGCCCAGACUCCUACGGGAGGCAGCAGUGGGGAAUUUUGGACAAUGGGCGAAAGCCUGAUCCAGCAAUGCCGCGCGCAGGAUGAAGGCCUUCGGGUUGUAAACUGCUUUUGUACGGAACGAAAAGCCCCGGGUUAAUACCCUGGGGUCAUGACGGUACCGUAAGGAUAAGCACCGGCUAACUACGUGCCAGCCGCCGCCGUAA
rnacentral:rRNA from 1 species